UGAACGCUAGCGGUAGGCCUAACACAUGCAAGUCGAGGGGUAAGGUUCAGCUUGCUGAACACACGACCGGCGCACGGGUGAGUAACACGUUUGCAACCUACCCUUAACUGGAGAAUAGCUCCCGGAAACGGGAAUUAAUACUCCAUAACAUUCAGACAGGGCAUCCUGUUUGGAUCAAAGCUCCGGCGGUUAAGGAUGGGCAUGCGUGACAUUAGCUUGUUGGUGAGGUAAUAGCUCACCAAGGCUACGAUGUCUAGGGGGUCUGAGAGGAUGGUCCCCCACACUGGUACUGAGACACGGACCAGACUCCUACGGGAGGCAGCAGUGAGGAAUAUUGGGCAAUGGACGCAAGUCUGACCCAGCCAUACCGCGUGAAGGAUGACGGCCCUAUGGGUUGUAAACUUCUUUUAUACAGGAAGAAACCUACGAUCGUGAUCGUAGUUGACGGUACUGUACGAAUAAGCAUCGGCUAACUCC
rnacentral:rRNA from 1 species